AUUGAACGCUGGCGGCAUGCUUUACACAUGCAAGCCGAACGGUAACAGGCCGCAAGGUGCUGACGAGUGGCGAACGGGUGAGUAAUGCAUCGGAACGUGCCCAGUCGUGGGGGAUAACGCAGCGAAAGCUGCGCUAAUACCGCAUACGAUCUAUGGAUGAAAGCGGGGGACCGUAAGGCCUCGCGCGAUUGGAGCGGCCGAUGUCAGAUUAGGUAGUUGGUGGGGUAAAGGCUCACCAAGCCAACGAUCUGUAGCUGGUCUGAGAGGACGACCAGCCACACUGGGACUGAGACACGGCCCAGACUCCUACGGGAGGCAGCAGUGGGGAAUUUUGGACAAUGGGCGCAAGCCUGAUCCAGCAAUGCCGCGUGCAGGAAGAAGGCCUUCGGGUUGUAAACUGCUUUUGUACGGAACGAAACGGUCCUGGUUAAUACCCGGGGCUAAUGACGGUACCGUAAGAAUAAGCACCGGCUAACUACGUGCCAGCCGCCGCUGUAAAAC
rnacentral:rRNA from 1 species